AUUAAGCGGAGGAAAAGAAACCAACCGGGAUUCCCUCAGUAGCGGCGAGCGAAGCGGGAAAAGCCCAUCGCCGAAUCCCCCGUCGGACCUCGGCGGUUUGGGAACUGUGGCGUAAGGGUCCGACUCGUCGGGCGUCUGACCGUCCGAACAAGUCCCGCGGGACAGGUGUGCUCCCAGAGUGGGUGUGAGGCCUUUAGUUCGGUCUGGGUCUUCUGCUCGGCGCAGUCGGUACCUGAGAGUCGAGUUGCUUGGGAUCGCAGCUCAAAGUGGGUGGUAAGCUCCAUCUAAGGCUAAAUACUUGCACGAGUCCGAUAGCGAACAAGUACCGUGAGGGAAAGUUGAAAAGAACUUUGAAGAGAGAGUUCAAGAGACCGUGAAAGCGCCUACGGGCAAACGGGUGGAACCGCCGGUGCGAUCAGCGGAAUCCAGCUCGCCGGGCAGGCGGAUCCUGGUGGCGGCGCAGACUUGUCCUUCUCGGAGGACGGGCUCGUCGUUGUCAGAGGGUUCGUCCCCGUCGGCGUAUCUUCCGCUGUGUCGCGAGUCGCGACCGGCUCGAAGUGCUUCGUUUCGAUUGGUUGCAGGCGAGGAGCGCGCUUUGCGUUGCAUCUGUCUUCGGACUGCCUGCGCUGGUCGGUAUCACGGCGAACGUAGCUUCGGGCCGAGGAACGGCCCCGUCCUCGCUCCCGACUCAGUCUCCCGGCGACGUCGCGGCUGUCUUGACUGCCUCUCUGAGGCUUAACAGUGCAAGUGCGGUCGCUCGGUCGGCGUCGGCGAGGCGGCGGGCAUUGGAGGACGGUUAGAGGUCCGCGGCUGGCCGUGGCGUCACUCUUCCUGACCCGUCUUGAAACACGGACCAAGGAGUCUAACGUGAGCGCGAGUCACAGGGAAAAACACUCCCUUGGGGCGCAGCGAAAGCGAUGUGGUCCGAUCCUCUCUCGGGUGAGGGGGGCGCAGGACCGGCCCGUCGGGGGUUGUUACGGCCUCGGCGGAGCAAGAGCGCUCGCGUUGGGACCCGAAAGAUGGUGAACUAGGCCCGAGCGGGACGAAGCCGGGAGAAAUGCUGGUGGAGGUCCUAAGUGGUUCUGACGCGCAAAUCGAUCACGGAACUUGGGCGUAGGGGCGAAAGACUAAUCGAACCAUCUAGUAGCUGGUUCCCUCCGAAGUUUCCCCCAGGAUAGCUGGCGCUCGCCGAGACAGUUUCGUCCGGUAAAGCGAAUGAUUAGAGGAGUCCGUGCCGAAAUGGCGUGGAGCUAUUGUCAAACUUUGAACGGGCGAGAAGGGGUGCCUACCGCUCGAUCUGGGAGGCUCGGCCCCCGUCGAAAUGUACGAGUGCCAAGUGGGCCACUUUUGGUAAGCAGAACUGGCGCUGUGGGAUGAACCAAACGCCGGGUUAAGGCGCCCGAUCGUCACGCUCAGCAGAACCCACAAAAGGCGUCCAUCGGUAAAGACAGCAGGACGGUGACCAUGGAAGUCGGUAUCCGCCAAGGAGUGUGUAACAACUCACCUGCCGAAUUGGUGGGCCCUGAAAAUGGAUGGCGCUGUAGCGUGCAGCCUACACCCGGCCGUCUCGGCAAUUUUCUCCGGCCUGCCGGUAGAGACUGACCGAAGCCGAGACGAGUAGGAGGGUCGCCGCGGUCAGCGCUGAAGCCUUAGACGCGAGUCUGGGUGUAGCGGCCGCGGGUGCCGAUCUUGGUGGUAGUAGCAAAUAUUCGAGCGAGAACCUCGAAGGCCGAAGUGGAGAAGGGUUCCGCGUUGCUCCUUCGAUCGGCCGCGGGUUAGUCGGUCCUAAGGCCUGGGAGAAAUCCUACGGGAAGCGGGACGUUUUUAAUUUUAAAAAAUUUGUCUCACCCAAUGCACGGGCCGAAAGGGAAACGGGUUAGGAUUCCCGUACCCGAAGGCGGAGCACAAGCGGCGACGCAAAGAAGGUCGGAUACACCGUCGGGAGAGUCGAGAAGAGUUAACUUUUCUUUUUGAGGUGCGCUCGCUGACCCUGGAAGCGGUUCUGCCGGAGAUAGGGAGCGAGAGCAAUCAACUUUAUCCGCAAAGCCGGCUCCAGCGGGGGCCUGUUCGGCUACGACUCGACGGUCCUUGAAACUCCGACGGCUAAACUUUUCAAUUGAAAAUGUGUUCGCUCUCGCCUCGGGCCGUACCUCAAUCCGCCGCAGGUCUCCAAGGUUCGCAGCCUCUGGUCG
rnacentral:rRNA from 1 species